GACGAACGCUGGCGGCGUGCUUAACACAUGCAAGUCGAGCGGAGCGGCGAACGGGUGAGUAACGCGUGAGUAACUGCCCCCCUCUCUGGGAUAACAGUUGGAAACGGCUGCUAAUACCGGAUAGUGGGGGAUGACUCGCGUCCUAUCAGCUUGUUGGUGGGGUAGUGGCCUACAAAGGCGCCGACGGGUAGCCGGCCUGAGCGGGCGACCGGGCCCAGUGGGCUGAUAUAAGGCCCAAACGACUACGGGGGGCAGCAGUGGGGAAUAUUGCACAAUGGGCGAAAGCCUUAUGCAGCGAACCGCGUGGGGGAUGAAGGCUUUCGGGUUGUAAACCUCUUGCGCUAUCGAAAGGGUAGGUGGAGAAGAAGCGCCGGCUAACUACGUGCCAGCCGCCGCGGUAAUAC
rnacentral:rRNA from 1 species